rnacentral:misc_RNA from 1 species
AUGAAUUUAUCCAUUCUCUUGGACAGUUUUGGUGCGACCCAUCCGUCAGUUGAGAAAGACUUGAUCUCUCCAGCAAUCCUCGUUGGAAAUUGGGAACAGUCAAAAGCCUCUAUCUGACUUAUGCCACUAACUCCUUCAAGCAGAUUGUUGUAGAAGACAUCUGGAUCAUGACCAAGGGGUGUCACGACACCCAUACCUGUCACAACCACUCGCCUUUGCUUCAUAACAGGUUUCUUCUUUGUUGCAACUUCCUUUUCAGGUUGCACAGCUACCGCCUUGACUUCCCCGGAAUGAGGAAACCGAUUGAGUCUUCUCUGCUUGCGAUUGAGAUUUC